UGGGUCCGAUGCGCUGCAGGGAUUUGGGCCACGUUGAAGCGCACGUUGGCCACCCGCGUCGGCCGCCAUGCGCAGCACCGUGGGCAGCAUCUGCUUCGUCGUGAUCUCCUGACCGCACACCUCCGACAGCACGUUGAUGCAGAAGAGCGUGGUCAUGCGGUGCAGGUAGUUGGGGUCGGUGGCCAUGGCCAACACUUUGGGCACGAUGGUGCCCUGCGCCCACUCCUGCCCGAAGCGCUCCACCAGUUUGCGCAGGUUGCUCGUGGCCGCCUCGCGGAUGGCGUACACGUGGUCCACCAGCCAGGCCAUGCACAGCGAGUUCAGCUUCUCGUCA
rnacentral:lncRNA from 1 species